CAGUAGCCGCGGUAAUACGAAGGGUGCAAGCGUUACUCGGAAUUACUGGGCGUAAAGCGUGCGUAGGUGGUGGUUUAAGUCCGUUGUGAAAGCCCUGGGCUCAACCUGGGAAUUGCAGUGGAUACUGGGUCACUAGAGUGUGGUAGAGGAUAGUGGAAUUUCCGGUGUAGCAGUGAAAUGCGUAGAGAUCGGAAGGAACACCUGUGGCGAAAGCGGCUCACUGGACCAUAACUGACGCUGAUGCACGAAAGCUAGGGGAGCAAACAGGAUUAGAUACCCGUGUAGUCCCUGUCUCUUAUAC
rnacentral:rRNA from 1 species